UUUUUAGAAAAAGAGAUAUUAGAAGGGGUUAGAAGAGGUUAGCGGAAGAAAAAAAAAGUAAGGAAAUAUUUUGGGGCAUAUAGGAUCAAGGGUUGUAAAUUAUAACUCGGAUUCAGUGGUUCAGUAAGUUUUCCUAAUCAUAAUCUGGAAUAUGAUAUCAGUGAAACUUUUGGGUUGACGUGGGUCAAAGGAACUCCACAUGUUAUCAGGGUCGGCAGCUGACGCGUUUUGACAACCUUCUCCUCCUCAUCAUUUUUGCAUGUAGAUAAAUGUGCAGUAUAUAGAGUGUGGCCAUUGUCUUAGUCUUAUUAGUCCAUCCUCCGGAUGUGGUGAAGAUCAAGUGACACGCUAGCAGCUCCGCGAGUCAUUUGAUUUCCAAGAGGGAAAAGACUAUAAAGGUGGCUACCAGACCUCUUAGACGGUGUGAGGCGUGCGAUGAGAUGGGACAUCACGACCCUAGAAACUGUCCAAUGCUUAAAGAGAUGGCGAAGGAGAAAGAGCUUCGUAAGGGCAAGAGGAAAUCUUGAUGUAUCUUGUUUUUCGGUUUAGUCUUAUUAUUCAAUUUGUUGUCUUAGUCUUAUUAGUCCUACCACUGUCAACAUUUUAUGCAUAAUAAUUUUACAUUUUUACUCAGUUAAUGUACAUUA